ACAAUUCCUUUCACAGAGGAAAAGAAAAAGAUACAAACUAAUGAUCUAUUUCUCAUUUUUUAGGAGAGAGGAUUCCCUCACCUCACUUGACAUUAUAUACAACACCUACAACAAUAUAUACAUACAUGAAAAAAUUUCAAUCGGGCUGUUUUCUUAUUCACACACACCACCACAAUACACCUCCACAUCUAUUAAUACUUGAUGUUGCGCAAAUUACACUUCUCAAAAAGUAUAAAGUGGUUGUUCAAUCAAAUAUAGAACCCAAGAAGGUUGUGGCCGAUCCCACGAGGAAUAGGCCAAAAUUAUGUCAUGAGUUUGUCUAUGUAACUGGCAAUUUAGAAAAAUAAAAGGGGGA
rnacentral:lncRNA from 1 species